AUUGGAUUGGCCAAAAAGUUUGAGUUUUCAGUACCAUCCUAUGGUGCUGAAAAACCCGAAUGAACUUUUGGCCAACCCACU
ensembl:miRNA